rnacentral:lncRNA from 1 species
AAAUGGAGAACAGCUGCUCACGCUCGUCGUCUGACAUCAGCUAUUUCUCAGGAUGACCCUGCGAGACAGGCCAGGGUCAUUAGACCCAAUUUGGUUCUCAGCAAAUAUGUGUUUAUUCCUGCAUGCGUGGGCCACAGGCUGGUUUCUUGGGUGCAAUGAAUAGCUGCAGGUUUAUUAGGGUGUCUUUUUAGAUGGAUGUAUGUUUCCCGAUGUCUAUAGAACACUCCGGACCCCGGAGAGUGAAGACUCUGCCUGUCGGACUUGCUUUGAGAAGAUCCUUCUCCACCUCCCCAUGGCAGAAGUUGCUUCACAGAGGGGAACAGUUUUAUGGAUGUGGCUGAGACCUUAAACUUGAGGCAACCCAUCUGAGGUGGCAUCCAGAGGAGACUGGCUGGCCCCUCCUUCACCUUGGAUGUAGUGCUGUUUCUAGGAUCUCUUUUCAAUCAGCAAAACAGGGGAUGUUCCAAGAGGGUGUGGAUUCCCUGCCAUCCCACAUGGUCAAGUGGAGGGGACGGGAAAAAGCUAUGAAGGGUUUGUGACCACACAGACUCUCCUGGCCCCCUGUCCUUUUGGAAAGAAGACAGGGAUGAAAUAUAAUCAAGCAAUUAACCACCCCCAUCAUCACCAAGAACAACAGUAUCAACAAGAAGAACAGGGACAACAAAACCCACGGAUGAAACAUUCCUUUCUCAGCUCAGAUCUUAUCUGGUGCGUUCUCUCUCUGCUCUGUCUUGGUGUGUGGUUUAGAGAAACAUGGACAACGCUGUUUGGAAGAACAGGUGAGCGAGGGUGGGGAAUUUCAGAGGCCUGGGCCCACCGCCUCCACCCCUUCCCCAGUUUAACCUUUGACAGGAUCUUCACCUCUCUCUGAUCAGCAUUGCUUCUUGUUCAAAGGCCUCAGCCACCCAGCUGUGUCCCUUUCCCCAGAAAGCAAGGGCAGAUGGCAGUGGGUCUGUUGAUGAGAGAACUUUAAGGGCCCAAUCAGUCCCUGGGCACCCCCUCCUGGGCUCGUUUUCUCCAGGAGGCUGCAUUCUGAUCCAUAAACCUUCUCCUCGGGGUUUAGGGUCGAGCUGUUCCUGAUGUUUAUCGGAGACUGGGAUCAAAGCUAUCCAGGUCAUAAAUCUCUCUCUGUGGCUGUUGGGCCCCAGGGCAGCUGAAGAGGGUUGACAGCCCUUUGGACCUCAAAGGAAAAAAUGUGCUCUACUCCACCCACUCCCAGCUCUGCCAAGAAGCUGUCCUCUGAGAAGCCAUGGCUGGGCCGUUCCAUUCUGGGGAGCUGCUGAAAAGAGCUGGGAGGCCGAGAAGAACUUGCGUGUGCUGGGGGAGAGGAAGCCUGGCCUUGAGGGAGGGGUGCAGGUGUGGCUCCUCUGUGUGUGGGGGCUGGGGGACCUUGUGUGCCUUUUCCUUGUGGCUGUGAAAUGCUUUAUGAGUACUUCCAUAGGAGGAUGGACAGGGAGUCGGGGAGAUAAACUCAGCCACAAGGCCCCAGGGCCUCAGGAAACUUGCACCCAACCCUCUCAUUUUACAGAAGAAAACUGUGCCUGGAAGGUUGAAGGGUUUGUUCCCAGUCACACAACCAGGGAUCCUUAGGACAGCCAGACCAGGAAACCAUUUCCAAACUGCCAAGCCAUGGCAGAGUAUCAAGACCUCAGGAACCAUCGAGACACCAUGGAAGCAUUGGGAAAAGCCUCCUUAGCUUUUGAAGCUCCUCAUUGUUCUUGAGUGUGCAUGGAGCCCAUGACUGCGGGGUUUUGUAGACACCUCAGGGAUUACAUGACUGGUACCCCUGACAAAGUCAAGGCUGCUGGACAAAAUGAGUCCGAGGAUUUCAGGGGCAGCUGGGCGCAGGAGCUGGUGGGCUGUUGGGAGUGCCCCUUUACUGGGCAGGCUUCCUUCCUCCUGGUGAUGGGGGGUUCCUCAGCACAAAAGUGAAGGGGUGGAGGGGCUGGAGGAGCAGGAAUCUCUCUUGUUGAUAGGUAUGAGGCCUUGAAGUCCUUUUCUUUGUCCCAGGAUUCAUGGACGCUUCGGGGCUGAUCUUUGAGUUUUCAAGCAUGGGGUGCAGAGACGUUUAGGUAAACUCUUACCGUCCUCUCUCUUCGUCAGGGCUUCCCAGGAAUCAACAAUGCCCAAGAAGGAAGGGAUUGUAGAAAUAGCUUAACCCUUUCAUUUACCAACGUGGAAAUUGAAGCCCAGGGAAGGGAAGGGACCGGUCGUGGAAGGGAGAGCCAUCAGCAGAAAGAGACCCUGAGAUCUUCGCCUGGGAUUCCCAGGAAGUCCAGCCCGAGCUGAUUCACAGAACAAAUGCAUGCAAACCUUGCUAUCAAUAAAUUACACAUGCACUUACGUAAAACACAUAAAAAUAUAUGGCCUUGGUUUUGGAACAAUACCCCACAGAUAAAAGUAGCUUUAAAUCCUCCAUAAAAUGAUAAAGUCUAGUCCUAAACUCCUAGCAGUUCUGCGGGUGAUCACAGGCGGCAGGAGCCGCUCAAACUUUAAUGGCUUGGUAUCUCCACAUGUAGACAGGAGGCAGAAAACCAUCGGGGAUGAAGUCGUGGGCUCUAGAAUUGCAAAGACGUGGGUUCCAGGCCAGGCUUGGCCCUUGCUAACUGUUGACCUUGAGCAAAUUACCCAACCUGUUCCUUAUUUGUUUCUGCCUCAUAGGUAGUUGUGCAGAUGAAAUGAUAUCAGUUCUCAGAACAGUGCUGGGGACAGAGUACACUCUAUGCUCAAUACAUAUUCACUUUUAGAGAUAUCUUGGGAUUCUCAGUCUAAGUGACAUUCAAAAGUACCUCACUGGGAGGCAAGACCAAGGUGGAGCCUCCUCUUGGAUGGGAUGUGGGCCUAUUUUAUUUUACUUCUUUAUUUUUGUAGGUGCAUGCCACCACACUUGCUAAUUAAUUUUUUUUUUUUUUUUUUGUAGAGAUGGGGUCUCACUAUGUUGCUCAGGCUGGUCUUAAACUCCUGGCCUCAAGCAAUCCUCCUGCCUCAGCCUCCCACAGUGCUGGGAUUACAGGCAUGAACCACUGAGCCCGGCACCUCUAUUUUAAAUCUAUUUUAUCUUUUGAGAUAUAGUCUUGCUCUGUCACCCAGGCUGGAGUGCAGUGGCGCGAUCUCAGCUCCCUGUAACCUCUGCCUCUCGGGUUCAAGCAAUUCUUCUGCCUCAACCUCCCAAGUAGCUGGGACUACAGGCGCCCGCCACCACGCCUGUCUAAUUUUUUGUAUUUUUAGUAGAGACAGGGUUUCACCAUGUUAGCCAGGAUGGUCUUGAACUCCUGACCUCGUGAUCUGCCUGCCUCGGCCUCCCAAAGUGCUGGGAUUACAGGCGUAAGCCACUGCACCCGGCUAUUUUAAAUCUACAGACAAAUCACCCAUGAAGUGCAGUGGGGGAAUAGAGGGCUGGGCUCAGUUAAUUCAGAAGAAGAUUUAUCCCAGGAUCAGGAAAUGAGAGUUUCAGAUGUUGCCAGUAGCUUAAGUGGCUUUUAGGGCCUUUUUUCUGUCUGGCCAGGGCUCAUCCUGGGCUGAGCUUUAAGGCCUGUUAGGGGCUGAAUUCUGUCCCCCUCAAAGUUUAUAUGUUGAACUCAUAACCCCAGUACCUUAGACUGUGACUGUAUUUGGAGAUAGGGUCUCUAAAGAGGUAAUUAGGUUAAAAUGAGGUCACUAGGGUGGGCCCUAGUCCAAUAGAAAUGUGUCCUUGUUGGAUAAGGGGCAACGUGGACACAGACACGUGCAGAGGGGAGCCCCUGUGAAGAAGCGGGGAGAAGACAGUCACCUGCAAGCCACAGACGGGGCCUGUGAAGGAACCAAUCCUGUCAAUACCUUGGUCUUGGUCUUGGCCUUCCAGCCUCCAAAACCCAGAGGCCAUCAAUUUCUGGUGAGGCAGCCCUAGCCGCCUUUCUAAGCGUUCAUACUCCUGGUUUGGCAGAGGGGAAGGGACCACGGCCAGCGCUUCUUAAACCUUCGUGUGUGUGAAACUCACUUCCUGGGGAGCUGGAUCAAGAUGCAGAUUCUAUGACCAUCUAGUUUCCCCUUUCUCAUCCCUUAUCUAAUUUGCUCCUCUGUGGAACUGUGUGAAGUAGACAGGGCAAGAAUUUUCAUCCCCAUUUUCCAGAUUAAGAAACUGAGUCUCAGAUGGAAGAAUCACAGCAAGUGAGAGGCAGUCAAGCCUCCAACUCAGGUCAAGUGAGGCGUCCUCACAUCCCAUGCCCCCCGUAAUUUCCCGAUCCCUAGCAGGGGCACCUGGGGAGACUCCCUGGUGAUGCUGUGUCAGGACUCCCUUCUUUAUUUUGAGACAGAGUUUCACUCUUGUCACCCAGGCUGGAGUGCAGUGGUGUGAUCUCAGCUCAUUGCAACCUCCACCUCCCAGGUUCAAGCAAUUCUCCUGCCUCAGCCUCCCAAGUAGCUGGGAUUAUAGGUGUGAGCCACCGUGCCUGGCAGGGCUCCCUUUUUGACAGACACUGUCUUAGACCUCAGGCUCCCUCAGGCCUUCGCUCUUGGGGGUUGGAGCUGAGGGGAGGAUGGAAAGUGUCCCUCCCCAUCACAGCGCAGCUAGCUGGUGAGAGGGGCUGGGAGCUCCCGGAUCUGUCUGGACAUGCAGCCACUCCUGGCAGUCCCCACCCCUCCUUCCACCCAGCCCCUCUGCCUUCCAGCAAGUGAAUGAAGUCAGGCAGGCCCUGGGCCAUCCCGGGUGAAGGAGGGAGUGGGCAUGGCUUGGCACUCCAAGGGCUCGCCAUUGGGAGGGGCGUGGAGACGGUGUGAACUCCUUGGUGUCUUGCUCUUGUCAUCUUCCAGCAUGACAUAUGCACAAAGGUACCUUUUAUAGGUGGGAAAUUAUAGGUGCUGCCACUUCAAAGGCCUUGGCAACCAGAGCUCCUCUUUGAUAGAUGACAGUAUUAUUAAUGGUGAUUUAUUGCUGGGGCCAUUUUGACAACAGAAAUAACCAGUUUCCCCACCUUUUCGGCUCUCUUCUCCCACACCUUCCUGGGGAUUUUUUUUUAUUUUGGCUGGCCCUGUGUGUUUUUCUGGCUGCAGGGGUUACCUCCCUGCACGAGGAGGCAUGGGAGGUAACCCAUGGAGCAUCUGCUUAAGGCACAUAGUGAGGCAUCUGGCUUAUUAACUUGUCAUCAUGUGUCAUAAAGUUUAGUGAAAUGCUGGCAGAUUGUAAUCCUAAACAGGGCAAUUACCCUCUUAUUAAAGCAGUACUUUUUCUGUCUGUCUGUCUGUCUCUCUCUUAUUUUUCUCUCUCUCCCUGCCUCCACCCCCUUUCCUGGGAUUGUUGUUACCUCUGCCCUACUUGCACAAUUAGUCAUGAGCGGAGGUCACCUGCUUCAUAAUGAUCCCAGAGUAGGCCUGGCCUUGGCGGGGCAGAGCUGAAGGGGAAGGGGCAAAGGAGAGCUAACCAUGGUGAGGCUUGCUGCAGCAAGCUGGCCUCACGGGGCAUGGGGACAAGGCGCUGUCCCAGGCGGGAGGCUGCAGUAAGAAGGUUGUGGUCUGAGGUUUCUGGCUGCAGGCAGCGAGAAGGAGAGAGGAGAGAGAGCUGACAGGAGCGACUGAGCCUCUGUGGACUUCGCCGCUCACCCAGAUUUUCCGGCAGAGAUGCCUCCCUCUGCCUUUUUCUCCCUCACUUUCGUAUCUCGAAACACAGGUGGAAAAUAAGAAAGGAAGUGGCAGUGGGUGAUGGGGGCCUGGGACAUGAGGACUCCUCACUUGAUCUGAAUUGGAGGCUUGGCUGCCACUCACUUGCUAUGAUUCUUCCAUCUGAGACUCAAUUUCUAAAUCUGUGAAAUGGGGGUGAAACAUCUUGCCCUGUCUGCUUCCCACAGUUUUAGGGAAGAUCAAAUUAGAAAAGGGAUAGGAAAGGGGAUGGCUCAUGGUAACUCACUCCACAAAUCUGAGGGAUGAUUGUAAUUUCAUAUGUGUGACCACAGGGUCUUAUGUCAUGUCUAACGGAGCUCUACCCCCGUGAUUCCAAAGGAUCGUUGACUAUAUUGAAAUUUGGUCUUCUGUCUCUUUCUGUAUUCCUCAGGGUUUUGAUGACCUUGGUUUCUAAAUCUGCCUGGGAGGCAUUGUUUGACUCUGGUCUGAACAACAGGAGUUUUCGGCACAGGUGUGAUCAUGUUACCUGCACAGUGCGAGGUUAAGAAGACAAAUGGGGGUAGGCUAGAGGCAACAGCCAAAUCACAAUUUGCCAGAUCUGAAAAGACCUUAGAGAUUACCUAGCUGAAUUGUCCCCUGCUGUAGAUUUGUAAAUCGAGGCUCGAAGAGGUAGAAUAACUUUCCUAAAAAUCAUCAGAUAAAUGACAGGCAGAGUGGAGACUAGAUCUCCCAUCGCCAGACUUGGCCCAGUGCUCUGUCCACCAAAGCAUGUUGACUGCAUCAACUCUGGGUGCACCUUCUCCUCCUUUAUCAUCAGUCAGCGUUCAGGAAAGCACUGCUAGCAGUCAUUUACACCUUAGCAUGAAUUUAAGCCAACAUUUAGUUCUCCCAGGUGCAUUUGCUUUUUUUUUUUUUGAGAUGGAGUUUUGCUCUUGUCGCCCAGGCUAGAGUAUAAUGGUGUGAUCUCAGCUCAUUGCAACCUCCACCUCCCGGGUUCAAGCGAUUCUCCUGCCUCAGCCUCCUGAGUAGCUGGGAUUACAGGCACCUGCCACCACGCCUGGCUAAUUUUUGUAUUUUUAGUAGAGACGGGGUUUUGCCAUGUUGGUCAGGCUGGUGUCAAACUCCUGACCUUAGGUGAUCUGCCCACCUCGGCCUCCCAAAGUGCUGGGAUUACAGGCGUGAGCCACUGUGCCCAGCCGCAUUUGCUUUUGAGGUCUCAUCCCAUUGUAUAGAUUGUUCCCUGUCAAUGGCAUUUCCAGCACUGGUGAGAAGAGAGGCAAGGCAGGGCUUGUGAUUCUCAUCCCCAAGACCCUGCCACUUGCCUACUCGCUCGGGCAAUGAGGGCGGGCACUGCUUCCAGAGUUAAACUGCACUGGACCCAGAUCUAUGUGUCCAUAAGUCAGAGCAAGUUUGUCAGAAGCUGUCAGGGAGUAAGGCUGAGUAGACGGAUGGAGUCAGACUCAUUUAAAAAUGGAAUACCAGCAGAUAGGUUUAAAAAUGGAAUGCGGCCGGCUAGAGUGAAGGUGGUCCCUAAACCAAACACCUGUCCCUUCUGUGUGUUUUCUGGUUUCUUUCCCCAUUGCUCGAGAAUGCUAGAAGCCAGACUAGUAUUAAGAACUCUAAAUUCCUAGCCUGGCAUGGUGGUUUACACCUGUAAUCCCAGCAACUUGGGAGAUCAAGGCAGGAGGGGAUCACUUGAGCCCAGGAAUUUGAGACCAACCUGGGCAACGUGUUGAAACCCCAUCUCUACAAAAAAUACAAAAAUUAGUCAGGCAUGUGGUGCAUGCCUGUAGUCUCAGCUACUUGGGAGGUUGAGGUGGGAGGAUUGCUUAAGCCCAGGAGGUCGAGGCUGCAGUGAGCCAUGAUCGCGCCACUGCACUCUAGCCUGGGUGACAGAGCGAGACCUUGUCUCAAGACAAACAAACAAACAAACAAACAAAAAACUCUUAAGUUCUAAGUGCCUGGAGCAGGGAGUGUUUCUGAGGCCUCAUGUUUACCAGGGCACUGUGCUAUGUGCAGGGUAGUGAGGGGGAGAGACACCAUUCCAACAUCUUGGAGCCCAAGUCUAGAGUCAGGGCCACAGAGGCGGGAGAGGAAGAGAAUCCCACUGCAAAUGGGCUGGGCCUCCCUGCCUUUGCCCAUUGAGUGAGCAACAGUGCUGUUUCUAUAGGUCUCUUUGAGCCUUAAGCAUGGAAUGUGAUGAGACUGAACAGUGAUAAAAUGUAUUGAUGGAACUUCUGUUCAUUGAAAUGCAAAGGGGAAGAAAGAAUUUAGAAAUGAUCUGAGGUUUCCAGCUUGGGGAGAGAGAAAGUGAGAGGAAGUGGGGGCCUAAGGGGAAUGGAAUGAACAGCCCCGACUUCAGGCUUGUAGACUGCAAUGGGGCAAGGCAGCUACAUGCAAAUGUCCUUCCUGGAGCCUGGAAACAAGGUCAAAGCAGAGAUGGACAAGUAGGAGCGCAGCCUAGAGGAGAUAGGUGAUGCCUGAAGCCAUGAGAAGGGGUGUUAUCUCUGCAGGAAGAAGAAUUGCAACACUCCUCCCAGCUGAGCAAACAGUCUGGGCUGGGAUGUGAGUGGUAUCACACUCUGCACUCACUUCCUCCUUCAGUGGUCAUUUGAGAGUUCACUGGGGCUGACCUACCCCAUUGGUCCUGGAGGACAGAAAGGAAUGGAGAAUAAAGAAGGUCUAAGGUGCAGUUUUUCCCCCUCCUCCAAAGCCAUGAAGGGACCUAUGGAUUUGAAAGCUGUGUGUGGUCACUGUGGACAGAGUGACUCCUACCCCACUGGGGGGCUUUGCCAGCCAAGGCACAAAUCAAGCCUUCUCUUUGCCCUCUGAAGUCAAAGGGAGAAGACCGGGGUUGUCCAUCUUUAUAGGCAGCCUCAGAUGAUCCAACCUAAUAUACGUCAUUAACAAAUUGUGUGAUCUUGAACAAGUCAGUUUAUCUCAUUGUGACUCAAGUGAACAUAAGGGUAUAGAGCAUUUGCCCUGCUGACCUCACUGGAUCAUUGUGAAAUAAUAGCUAAUGAGAUGGUGCAUAGCAGGUGUUUUGUAAACUUAACAGUGAUAGGCAAAGCUUAGUUCCCAUGAGAAUGACUCUCUGACUAUUAUCUAUGGCAUUGGAAUACUGACCUCCCUUCUCUGAGAAAGCUCCAGCGGCAAAAUGCUUCUGAUCUCAAACUUUAGGACCAAUUUUCUGGUUUACAGGGCAGGACGAGCCCCUUCUCUUAAGGAUCAAGGGGAUGAAGGAGAAUUCCCUGCUUUUGGUGGGGGGUUACUUCUGAAAGCCAUGCCCUGCUCCCAUCUGAGGAGGUCACCCAGUCCUAGUUUUGUCUGGAAGCACCCUGCCCAGCCCCAGGGGCCAGCCCCAUCCCAGCCAGGCCUCAGAGAUGUCAGACCUGAAAGGCAGCUGCUGCCUCUCCUUCUGACAGGUGUCUCCGCCAGAGCUGGGAGAUGAGGAGAUAGGCGAGCUGAGCACCUUUCCUCCUUGAAUUGAUAACUGCUUUGCAAUGCAGCUCUGUACUUGCUAAAUGAAACCUCCUGCCCCACCAUGAUGGAUUUAUGGCUGAAACAUCUUAUCUCAACUGAGAAUAUUUUAUGAGUGUGCAUGGGUGUGUGUGGGAUAGGAGGAGGGAAAAGGCAGUUUUGCAAACAUUUCUAGAGGUGCUCCAUAAUCUGCCCUACCCUGAAGUAUUAUCUAGAAGCUCUUUCUAGAUCUGCCAGGCUUAAGCAUCUAUAAGUCUUCUCCAGAUGCUAGCACAAUGUAGAUGCCUCAUGAAACAUUUGCUGAUGAUGAUGAUGACGAUGAUGACGAUGAAGGCUGUGGUCUGGAAGGGGACUCUGUUUUUGAUAAGUUUAAUUCAAUCCAGCAAAUAUUGAACAAAUGCUCAUUUUUGUUCAGGGCUAGGAAAGCUACUAUUAUUAUUUUUUUGGUGGGGUGGAGAAAGGGGAGAGUUGGAGAAUAUAAAAAUAAAUGACACAAACUCUUUUCUCUACAUCCUUGGUCUAUACUGAGGGGCCAGGACAUGCACAUUCGGAGUGGAUGUGGAGCAGAAGGGGUUGGAGUGGCAAGAACUAAUGGCCCAGAGUGUAGCUUCAGGAGCUGGACACACCUGGUGGGAUCUUUAGGUAGUUUCUUGUCUUUUGAGCUCCUCAGUUUUCUCCCCUCUAACAGGGGGACAACACUAUUCCCUAGCUCUAAGGUUGGUGUGAAGGUCAUAGGAUUUGCGUAGGGGUUACUUGGUACCAUGUGGGGUCAGCAGCUCAGUAGCAUCACCAACACGAGGAUGAAGAUGAAGGACCGACUCACUGACGAGGGUGGGCUGGAGAUGACUGGGAGCCAGGAACCAUCACAAACUCAGGGCUCUGUGUGCACUGGUUAUCCCAUUCUUUUGCAACCUUGUAAAAUUAAUUUAAUAGGUAGUACAUCCAAGUGGUUUAAAAAGCAAAAGGUAUAAAGAAAUAUGCAGUGAAGAUGAAAAUUGCUCUCAGUUCUGACCCCUCACUAUUGUGCUCCUCCUUCUCAGAGGCAGCUGUUGUCAUUGGUUUCUGGGGCAUUCUUUCCAAGGGCGUUGUACACCCAGCAUCUAAUGAUGCUACCUCUUCUUCCUCUUUCUUGUUUUAACCCAAAAGGAGGAAUUGGGAGUUGAUGAUAGCCAUAGAGUGGAAGGCAGCAGCUGGAGGGAGGAAGCUGGAUGUAUCUGAGCAUCUACUACGUGCCAGGCCCAGAUGAAAUCUUAUCAGUUCUAGCGAAAUUUGGAGAAAGAUUCACUGUCUUAGAAUUUGAAAACAUCAGUGCUGGAGGGGAAGGUGGAAGCCAUCUGGCUAAUCUUCAUUUACUGAUAUGGAAGUGACUAGUCCAAAGUCCCAGAGCUUUCUGAUUUUUGCUUCUUCUUGCUAGGAAAGCAAUUAUCCUAUAAUAAUCCUUCUUUACAGGUAAAAAUAUUUUAUGGUGCACCUGCCUCCCUUGCCAGUGGAAUGACAGUCUCCAUAGACCUGUGGGCCAUCUGGGCCCUGGGCCAGCCUCCUUGUCUCACACUAGCUUGUUGGGGACCUGCCCUUGCUGGCACCCAUCAUUCCAGCUCCCUCCUGUUGUAACUCCUGCCCCAAAUCCCAGGACUUGUCGCUGCCAGCUUUUUCCCCUGUUGUUCCUUGUCUUCCCACCCUUCUCAGGACUCAGGUCACCAGGAUAGGUGGACAUCCAAUUCCUGCUGGAGUGCCAGCAGGAGAGAUUUGGGGAACUCUUCCAGGUAAAGGGGGUUUUACCUGCUAAGGGUUGACUUGUGUCUCCCCCACAAAUUCAAAUAGUGAAGUCCUAAACCUGCCAGUACUUCAGAAUGUAAUUAUCUUUGUAGAUAGGGUCUUUAAUGGGGUAAUUAAAUUAAAGUGAGGUCACUAGGGUGGGGCCUAAUCCAAUAUGACUGGUGUCCUUAUAAGAAGAGGAAAUUAGGACACAGACAGGCACAGAGCGAUGACCAUGUGAAGACACAGGGAAGAGAUGGCCACCUACCACCAAGCCAUGGUCACCUACCAUCCAAGCCAUGGUCACCUAUCACCAAGCCACAGUCAUCUACCAUCCAAGCCACCGUCACCUACCAUCCAAGCCAUGGCCACCUACCUGCCAAGCCAUGGCCACCUACCCGCCAAGCCAUGGUCACCUACCCACCAAGUCAUGGUCGCCUACCAUCCAAGGAGCGAGGCCUGGAACAGAUCCUUCCCCAGAGCCCUCAGUAGGAGCCAACCCUGCUGACACCUUGAUCUCAGACUUCAAGCCUCCAGAACUGUGGGACAAUCCUUCACUGUCAUUUAAUCCACCCAGCAUGUGGUCUCUUGUCACAGUUGCAUUAGCCAGUGAACCUACCCGGGCCCUUCUGCAGUCACCUGGCUCAGGAGUGGUUCUGGUCAGGAAGUUCUGAGGCCAGGCAGGAUCGGGACACUCCCUGGAAAGACCCGAGGGAGAUAUUUGGGAAACAAGAGGGCUGGUGUGGCUUCUCAACAUGCCCACCAUAAAUCCUGCGCCAUCCCAGGGCCGAUGGGACCUGCUGUGUGUGCGGUAAACUGAAUGCCAGGAAGCCAGGCUCUGUCGAUCCCUGGUUCUGACUGUUGUGGGAUCUUGAGCAAAUCCCCUCGCCUCUCUGGGUCUCAGUUUCCUGAUUUGUGGGAUGGAGAAAAGGAUUAACUGUCCCACUUACCUUGAGGCUGUGGUGUGGAUUAAAUGAUUAAAAUGCAUAAGUGCAAUUGCAAAAAUAUAGAACCAGCCCAUCAAUCAAUGAGUGUAUAAAGAAACUGUUGUGUAUAUAAUAUAUAUAAUGGAAUACUACUCAGUCAUAAAAAGGAAUGAAUUAAUGGCAUUCGCAGCAACCACGAUGAGAUUGAAGACUACUAUUCUCUUUUUUUGCUUUGUUUUUGAGAUGGAGUCUUCCUCUGUCACCCAGGCUGGAGUGCAGUGGCACGAUCUUGGCUCACUCCAACCUCCGCCUCCCAGGUUCAAGUGAUUUAAGAUUGGAGACUAUUAUUCUAAGUGAAGUAACUCAGGAAUGGAAAAGCAAACAUCAUAUGUUCUCACUCAUAAGUGGAGCUAAGCUGUGAGGAUGUAAAGGCAUAAGAAUGAUACAAUGGACUUUGGGGACUCAGGGGGAAAGGGUGGGAAAAGGGUGAGGGAUAAAAAGCUACAAAUUGGGUUCAGCGUACACUGCUUGGGUGAUGGGUGCACCAAAAUCUCACAAAUCCCCACUAAAGAACUUACUCAUGUAACCAAAUACCACCUGUUCCCCCCAAAUCUAUGGAAAUUAAAAAAAAUUAAAUAAAGUGUGCAAGUGCUGGCGAGGCCCCGAAGGAGCCCCACAUUGGUGAUGGCAACGCAGGUGACAGCACUUUCUCUCCCCAGUGGGGCUGGUGGUGCCCAUUCCUGGCUGCCCCACUCUGAGUCUGAGGAGGAACCAAGGCUUUCCUGGAAAUGCAGGGGCUGCCAUCGGCCUGUGGGCUUAGGGUCCCAAACAGGGAGAGCCCAUUGUUUGUCAUUUCUCCUCAGUAAGCAGAAAGCUCUAAGCCCUGAAGCCUCCGGUAAACGUCAGAACAUUUGGACAUCUGAGUCCAUUGUCUCCAGGUCUCAUAAUUUUCCUACAUUAAAAAUCCAAUAAUGCAUUUUGUGGAAAAUUUAGAAAGUACAGAUAAACAAGAGAAUAAAAAACAUGAAUUUUACCACUGUCAAAGCUGAAGGUCUAUCCUUCUAGCCUCUUCUUUAAAUGUGUGUAUUUUCAGAAAAAUGAAACCCUGUUGCACAUAAUACUUUAUAAGUUUUUUUUUUUUGACAAGGUCUCAUUCUGUUGUCCAGGCUAGAAUACAGUGUUAUGAUCAUAGCUCACGGCAGCUUCAAACUCCUGGCCUCAAGUGAUCCCACCUCAGCCUCCCAAAUUGCUGGGAUUCCAGAACUUGCCCUCUGCUGAAGGUGCUGCCUCACCAUGAGGUUAUACUCCUACCUCAGGGAUCACAAGGUGGCUCCCUGAACAGCUCCUUGCUGCCAUUUUGUGAUGACACCAUCUUUAACACCUGGCUUCUGAAGUCUCAUGGAGAGGUCUCUAUCCAGGGAGUACAUUGGAUACUUUCGCGGUCUCUGUGGACGGGGAGACAGCACACUGGAGACUAACACCAUGUUGGCCUGGACAUGAUGCAUGACCCUUACGCCCAUGUUCCAUUGGUGAGACCCAGUCGUGUGGAUCGCACUAGCUGCAUGGGCUGGGUUGUGGGUGUGGGUGGUGAAAAUUGUAGACUGGGCAUCUGCUCCCCAGAAGCAACUCAACAUGGUGUUGGGGGAGCAUGAAUCUUUGGUGGUCAGUAGUUUUUUCUACCACACCAUCCUAUGCAAAGCUGUGAAGUAACUGAAGUUUGUCUUGACUUCUCUAUCCAACCCAUCUCCCCGCAGCCUUCCAAUUCCCAGGCUCCUGACCUCUUUUUUUUUUUGAAGACGUGCUCUCAGAGAGCUGUUAAAUAACUAACCAAGGAAUUAGCUGGUAACCAGACAAGCAACGUAAUACCUAGCCCUUCCUAGGCAUUUGGUUUCUCUCCCUUCCCAAUAGAAGCCCUUCCAAAGCUCCAUGCCUUCACUAAUGCAGUGACCUCUGUCUGGAGCACUGUUCUUUUCUGGCUGUGAAAGGGCGAUUCUUCUUACCCUUUAAGAUCCAGCUCACAUUAUUAUUAUUACGAUUAUUAUUUUGAGACAGAGUCUUGCUCUGUUGCCCAGGCUGGGGUGCAGUAGUGUGAUCAUAGCUCACUGUAGCCUCAAAUUCCUGGACUCAAGCGAUCUUCCCGCCUCAACCUCCCAAGUAGCUGGGACCACACAGGUGCAUGCCACCACACCCAGCUAAUGUUUUAGUUUUUGUAGAGAUGGGGUCUCACUAUGUUGCUCAGGCUGGUCUCAAACUCCUGACCUCAAAGUAUCCUCCUGCCUUGGCCUCCCAAAGUGCUGGGAUUACUGGGAUUACCAUGCCCAGCCCCAGCUCAGAUUAUUAAAAAGUUAAAAACAAAACAAAACAAAACAAAAUAAAAAAAACCCUAAACAGGUGUUGGAGAGGAUGUGGAGAAAAGGGAAACUUUAUACACUGUUGGUGGGAAUGUAAAUUAGUACAACCUGGAUGAAAAACAUUACGGAGAUUUCUUAAAGAACUAAAGAUAGAACCACCGUUCAACUCAGCAAUCCUACUACUGGGUUUCUAUCUAAAGGAAAAGAAAUCAGUAUAUCAAAAAGAUACCUGCAUGCGUAUGUUUAUCGCAGCAAUAUUCAUGAUAGCAAAUCAUGAUAGCAAAUCAGCCUGUGGAAUCAACCUGAGUGUCCAUCGAUGGAUGACUAGAUAAAGGAAAUGUGGCAUAUAUACACAAUGGAAUAGUAUUCAGCUAUAAAAAAGAAUGAAUUCAGGUCUUUUGCAGCAAAAUGGGUGGGAUUGGAGAACACUACAUAAAACAACUCAGACACAGAAAGACAAAUACCUCAUGUUUUCACUUAUAUGUGGGAGUUAAACAAUGGGUCCAUAUGGAAGCAGGGUGGGGAGUGAUGGAACAGUGAGGUCGGGGAGUGAGAAGGGUGGAAUAAUAAUAAUAAUAAAGACUGGAUCAGAAUUCAACCCCUCAGUAUUAAUGACCCUUUGUACACCUUUGAGUUAUAGCAUUUAUCACACUGUUGUAUAAACAACUGUUGACUGGAAGCCUGUUUUUCCAGGGGCAAACAUAGUGCUUAAUUCACAAGGAGGUAAAUGCCCACAAGAGCAGUUCCAUGGGGUCGGGGAUUCUUUUUUCACUCUUCUAUCCCUGGGGCCUAGGACAGUGCUUGGACUUGCUCAUUAUUCGUUAAGUGAACAAUCUGUUUCUGCCCCAGCACAGUGCCUGGCAUGCAGUAGGCACUCAGUUAUUGAAGGACAGCAUUUGCAAGGUCAGAAGUGUUUGCUAAUCCUUGCUAGCAGUGGAGUUUCAGAUACUUUACUUGAAGGAUCGUUUUUUUCUUUAAAGAUAAUUUUGAUUCUGGAAAGUCCCUCUAGGUCUUGCUCAAAUUAUUCUACCUGGAUGCACACGUAUGUGACACACACACACACUCUCCUUUAUUCUCCAGCCCUCCUAAAUCCUUUUGAAGACAGAGGCCCAAGGAAAUGAGUUCUUGUAAAACCAUUUCCUUAUUUCUCAGCCCGGUGAAGAUAAACCCUGUUGGGUUGAGCUGCCAGAUUCUGUGCCCCAUCACUCCCACCCUGGCCCGGGGCCCCCACCCCCAGGGCUGGCUCAUCCUCAGGCCAAGCUGUUCCCACAAAGACACCGAGCCUGAGACUUAAAUUGGAUUUGCCUGUGGCUUUGCGCUCUUCAUGUCCUCCCGCCUUCGUUUUUGAUUUAUCGUUUUAAUCAGUCCUAGUCAAUCAUUCCCUCUCUGUCUUGCUCACCAUAAACACAACCCCUUGCCAAAAAAAUUAUGAAUGUAUUAAAUGAUUUUAUUACAGUAAACUGCAGAUUGUACCAUUGUAAACACAGGUGCCGUUCCAACCCCACACCCUCCAACUCUGUCCAGACCUGCAGGGGUGCCUUGGAGGGAGGGAGGCCCUGGGGCCUGAGAAAGGGACCAUCUCUGGGAGUCUGAGAAGCAGGAGGUCAUUUGGUUCAACGCUUC